rnacentral:pre_miRNA from 1 species
AAUAAGAUUAUUUUUCAGUUUUUUUAUAAAUGUUUUGACUAUUCGUCUUAUUUGAAUUUUUUUACGAUUAAUAUUUUUACUGGAUGAUAAAGUAUGAAUAGUGUGUGACUAAUUUUUUUAAAUUUUUGUACAAAUUUUUCAAAUAAAACGAAUGGUGAAAAGUUGGACACGGAAAAAGAAAAAUAAAGUUAUU